CGCAUACAGACACAACCGAGGAAAUCCCCAAGUGAGAGUUACGACAGACUCUCCCCGCCGUAGAUAGUGGGCAACUUCCGACUCGCGCUGAACACCGCGUACAAAUCGACAGAGAAGCCCAAAACGUGUAAAGUUAAACAGUGUACGCUCCGGACAAAUACAAGGUGUUGUAAACACAGCUUUUGGACCCGUUUAGGUGGAAGUGCACAGACAACCAACGACUCGCGGCUGUUUUUUAUGAAUACACUUACCGAAGUACAGCAGCAGGAGGACAUGUACGGCAUGGCAGAAAUGCCCGAUCUCAUACCACCGGCAGGUGCGUUACAGCCCAGUCCGGUAAUCCCGUACGAGCACGGACAGGCGGGGAGAACCAGACCAGACCUCCUGUCCGCCCCACGAAGAAUGCAGCGAGCCCCCAAACUCGGACAGAUCGGGCGGUCUACGAGAGUGGUUAUUGACGAUGAUGACUUGGAUGAUAUUAUAAACAAUAACAGAAGCUUCCCGGUUUCUGAGAGAGUAUCACCUGUUGCCUGAUGCAUGGUUGACUGUGCCAAAGCUGUUUUGAGGCCUACACACCAAAGCAGGCCUACAGAAUAGAACUAAAAUCUCCCUCUCACAUGUUCUCACUCGUCGUCACCUUUCAAUGUACAGCUUUUAAGGCUUUCACCUCUUCGAGGUCAAACAAGAGAACUGUGGACUUGGCUUCCUGUUCACUUUAUGCUUGCCGAUCACUUAACUGAUGCCCUGCAUCUGUAGCACUGAAUGAUUCUGUCUGGUGUUCUCAGUUUUGGAUGUUUCUUUCUUGAGAUGAAGAUCUUUAUGAUCUCUGAUGCAACAGGGCUAUAUUUAUAAAAUUUGCACUUUAAUGCAGAAUAAGAAAGCUAACCUCAGCAGGUUGGAUUACUCAUCUCCCAAAGAGGACAUUUUCCUGUGAAACUCAGUUAACCUGUAACGUGCCGUUUGGUAAGACCUGUGGUUACCUUGGUACCUUGACAUUUCUCUGAAUGACUCUGGUUGCUUGAUCUUUUGUUUGGUCACUGUUUUUUUGUGCCUGUUGAUUUGAGUUUAAAUUGAAAUAAGUACAAUCUUGAAGGCAUACUGAGAUGAACAAUCAGAUCUUCUAAACCAAUUUCAGAUGUUGGUUAAAAUACUUUGCUCUUAAAAAUGUUUUAAACCUCUAAAGGUUUGCAUGGGGUGGGAAUAAUAAAGUAUAUUGAGUUACAUUUGUUUAUGACUGAAUAAAGGCUAUUUGUAAAGGUGUUUGUGCUGCCUGUCAAUAAAAAAACAAUGAAUUAAUCACA